GAUGAUCAGUCACACCUGGAAACUGAGACACGGUCCAGAACUCCUACGGGAGGACAGCAAGUGGGGAAUAGUUGGACAAUGGGCGAAAGCCUGAUCCAGCCAUGCCGCGUGUGUGAAGAAGGUCUUCGGAUUGUAAAGCACUUUAAGUUGGGGAGGAAGGGCCGUUACCUAAUACGUGAUGGUUUUGACGUUACCGACAGAAUAAGCACCGGCUAACUCUGUGCCAGCAGCCGCGGUAAUACAGAGGGUGCAAGCGUUUAAUCGGAAUUACUGGGCGUAAAGCGCGCGUAGGUGGUUUGUUAAGUUGGAAUAGAUGAAAUCCCCGGGCUCAACCUGGGAACUGCAUUCAAAACUGACUGACUAGAGUAUGGUAGAGGGUGGUGGAAUUUCCUGUGUAGCGGUGAAAUGCGUAGAUAUAGGAAGGAACACCAGUGGCGAAGGCGGACCACCUGGACUGAUACUGACACUGAGGUGCGAAAGCGUGGGGAGCAAACAGGAUU
rnacentral:rRNA from 2 species